GCUACAACUUAAGCUCUACAACCCCCCCUGAGCAGUGGCGCCACCAUGGGGUGGCGAGGGGUGCCUACUGCCACCCCAAAAUCAUUCUUUGCCACCCCAUUUGCCACCCCUAAGACAAUUUUUAUUAUGCAUAUUUAUUUUAAAUAUAUAAUGUAGUCUAUAUUUUUUUGAAUUCACAAUAGUUCGUAAUGUGAAAACGAGCAGUAAAUGCAGUAAAUGCGCUGCGUAGCGGUUAUCAAUGAAGUACGACCCCUACCCUAAGAUUUGCUGUGGCCCCCAUUGGCCACCGCUGGAAUAAUCUUCUGGAGGCGCCACUGCCCCUGAGUGAAGAAUAGGCUACAACUCAAGCUCUACAACCCCCCCUGAGUGAAGAAUAGGCUACAACUCAAGCUCUACAACCACCUCUGAGUGAAGAAUAGGCUACAACUCAAGCUCUACAACCACCUCUGAGUGAAGAAUAGGCUACAAGUCAAGCUCUACAACCCCCCCUGAGUGAAGAAUAAGCUACAACUCAAGCUCUACAACCCCCCCUGAGUGAAGAAUAAGGCUACAACUCAAGCUCUACAACCCCCCCUGAGUGAAGAAUAAGGCUACAACUCAAGCUCUACAACCCCCCCUGAGUGAAGAAUAAGGCUACAACUCCUAGCUCUACAACCACCUCUGAGUGAGGAAUAGGCUACAACUCCUAGGUCUACAACCCCAGCAGCUAUGUCUGAGUGAAGCCUCAACAGAGGUUUAAUCCACACAACCACGCCACUGAAGAAUACAAUGUCAAAGCACAAG
ensembl:lncRNA